rnacentral:tRNA from 1 species
GGUCCCGUAGCGCAGAGGUUAGCAGGUCCGCCUUUGACGCUGAACGCCUGAGUUCAAAUCCCGGCAAGACCA